GCUGUGAGGCAUGCUGGAGGUAUCAGAAGUGCGAAUGCUGACAUAAGUAACGAUAAAGCGGGUGAAAAGCCCGCUCGCCGGAAGACCAAGGGUUCCUGUCCAACGUUAAUCGGGGCAGGGUGAGUCGACCCCUAAGGCGAGGCCGAAAGGCGUAGUCGAUGGGAAACAGGUUAAUAUUCCUGUACUUGGUGUUACUGCGAAGGGGGGACGGAGAAGGCUAUGUUAGCCGGGCGACGGUUGUCCCGGUUUAAGCAUGUAGGCUGGUUGUCCAGGCAAAUCCGGAUAAUCAAGGCUGAGGUGUGAUGACGAGGCACUACGGUGCUGAAGUAACAAAUGCCCUGCUUCCAGGAAAAGCCUCUAAGCAUCAGGUAACAUUAAAUCGUACCCCAAACCGACACAGGUGGUCAGGUAGAGAAUACCAAGGCGCUUGAGAGAACUCGGGUGAAGGAACUAGGCAAAAUGGUGCCGUAACUUCGGGAGAAGGCACGCUGGUGUGUAGGUGAAGCCCCUGCGGGUGGAGCUGAGACCAGUCGAAGAUACCAGCUGGCUGCAACUGUUUAUUAAAAACACAGCACUGUGCAAACACGAAAGUGGACGUAUACGGUGUGACGCCUGCCCGGUGCCGGAAGGUUAAUUGAUGGGGUUAUCCGUAAGGAGAAGCUCUUGAUCGAAGCCCCGGUAAACGGCGGCCGUAACUAUAACGGUCCUAAGGUAGCGAAAUUCCUUGUCGGGUAAGUUCCGACCUGCACGAAUGGCGUAAUGAUGGCCAGGCUGUCUCCACCCGAGACUCAGUGAAAUUGAACUCGCUGUGAAGAUGCAGUGUACCCGCGGCAAGACGGAAAGACCCCGUGAACCUUUACUAUAGCUUGACACUGAACAUUGAGCCUUGAUGUGUAGGAUAGGUGGGAGGCUUUGAAGCGUGGACGCCAGUCUGCGUGGAGCCAACCUUGAAAUACCACCCUUUAAUGUUUGAUGUUCUAACGUUGGCCCCUUACCGGGGUUGCGGACAGUGUCUGGUGGGUAGUUUGACUGGGGCGGUCUCCUCCCAAAGCGUAACGGAGGAGCACGAAGGUUAGCUAAUCCUGGUCGGACAUCAGGAGGUUAGUGCAAUGGCAUAAGCUAGCUUGACUGCGAGCGUGACGGCGCGAGCAGGUGCGAAAGCAGGUCAUAGUGAUCCGGUGGUUCUGAAUGGAAGGGCCAUCGCUCAACGGAUAAAAGGUACUCCGGGGAUAACAGGCUGAUACCGCCCAAGAGUUCAUAUCGACGGCGGUGUUUGGCACCUCGAUGUCGGCUCAUCACAUCCUGGGGCUGAAGUAGGUCCCAAGGGUAUGGCUGUUCGCCAUUUAAAGUGGUACGCGAGCUGGGUUUAGAACGUCGUGAGACAGUUCGGUCCCUAUCUGCCGUGGGCGCUGGAGAAUUGAGGGGGGCUGCUCCUAGUACGAGAGGACCGGAGUGGACGCAUCACUGGUGUUCGGGUUGUCAUGCCAAUGGCACUGCCCGGUAGCUAAAUGCGGAAGAGAUAAGUGCUGAAAGCAUCUAAGCACGAAACUUGCCCCGAGAUGAGUUCUCCCUGAGACUUUAAGUCUCCUGAAGGAACGUUGAAGACGACGACGUUGAUAGGCCGGGUGUGUAAGCGCAGCGAUGCGUUGAGCUAACCGGUACUAAUGAACCGUGAGGCUUAACCUU
rnacentral:rRNA from 1 species